CUAUUCUAAUCAUUAAUUUGUUUUUCUCUCAGGCUAUAUUCUGUUAUUGGGUGACAUCAAACCUUUUCUCCCUGGUAUAUGGAUUUGUGCUCAAACGCCCUCCAGUAAGGAAGUACCUCAAUCUUCCUGAUGUGACUCAGAUCAAUCCAACUCCAUCAACAGGGCCCAACUUCUUCUCCGGCGGAUCGAAGCCGGCUCUUCCCAUGGCCUCUUCAGUACAGGAAAAGGGAUCUGACCAACCUAAAUCUCCUGAGCGAAGGGUAUCUUCAUCAACGGUUAUCAGCCAGCGCAUUAGAAAUCUGGAGAAGACGGUUAAAUCCAGAAACAAACCCAACAAAAAAAGGUGAAAGUUUUAUAUUUUUAGAGAACAAAAUUAAAAUUUCUUUUUAGUGCUGUGCUUUAAAUCCUCAUAUAAAUUAGCUAUUUAUGGUGUUGUAAUUUUAUUUUUAUUAUUAAAUUUUUUGGAAAUUGGAAUGCCACGUUGGUAUUUGUAAUAGAUGGCAUUUUUUUGUGCUUGCCA